CGAGCGCAACCCUUGUCUUAUGUUGCCAGCACGUGAUGGUGGGGACUCAUGAGAGACUGCCGGGGUUAACUCGGAGGAAGGUGGGGAUGACGUCAAAUCAUCAUGCCCCUUAUGUCCAGGGCUUCACACAUGCUACAAUGGUCGGUACAACGCGUGUGCGACACUGUGAGGUGAAGCUAAUCGCUCUAAAGCCGGUCGUAGUUCGGAUUGGGGUCUGCAACUCGACCCCAUGAAGUC
rnacentral:rRNA from 1 species